rnacentral:snRNA from 1 species
AUAUGUAUAUGUGUGUCUCUCCUGAGGCUGUGCGCUCGGUCAAAGAGGACGAACUUCCACCCAGAGAGGACCGGUCUUCUGUCAAGGGUAUACGAGUAGCUGCGCUCCCCUGCUAGAACCUCCAAAACAAGCUCUCAAGAUAACUUGUUAUGUAAAAUUAAAUUAUUUAUCUAAGAUGCACCUAUACUGAAUUUAUCUGAAAAAUAAAGU